UUGCCCCCAAGACUAACGGGUAUCUCCUGCAUCCAGAGCUGGUCGUGAAGAGCGCCCAGUAAAGCCAGUGCUCCCAGUCCCUGCUAUCAGGCAGACUUCCCUAACAGACGAGAGUUUUCCUGGAGGCUAGUGCACGUGCUGACCCCUAUCAAAAGCCAGACCGGAGCGUUUCCGAGGGGGACUUGCAAAGGUGCUCCAGAAAAACAAAAGUAUAGUAGGUGGGGUUUGUGCACACCGUGAAUUUGCAGGUCUGUGAGCCGACUGCCAUUUGUGGACUAGCUGGUGAGAUGGUGUUGCAGCCGGCAGGAGUUCUUGGUAACAUAACUACUCGUGCCCUCCCGCCUGCACAGCGGCAGUAGUCGCAGCUCCUGCAAUCAGAGUCUCGUGCUUGGCCACUCUCAGGAGGGCUGUGGAGGUUCCUAUCUUGUGUGUGUGACCAGAGUCACUUAUGUGCAGCCUCAGCAAGUCCCGUUGCUGUCCCGUGAGGGCAGAGGGAGGGCCGCUUAGUCCCUUGUAACCUGAGUUUCCAAAACAUGUUGGAGCACGGAGCAGAGGACAGGAGUUCUCUAUUGUGGUGCCAAAGUACAAGUAAAGAGGCAAUGAGCUUUAAACACUAGACUUUGUGGCCAAACACCCAGCCAGCCUUCUACGUGGGCUUCUGGGAGCAUGCCUGAAAUGAUGCCGAGCACCUCAUUCGGGCACGGGACGUGCUGCGGUAGAGUCAUCUUGUUUGAUGCUCUUAGCAGCAGUCAGUGAGUUUCUGACCCUCCCCUUGUUCCCCUGCAAGAAACUGGGCUAGGCUGUUUUGGGGACUAGCAAAAUUCUCCUUGACCUUUAUGGCAAUUUUUGUAUGCCAAGCACAGGAAUGGAUUACAUCAGGUUACCAGAUUGUAUUAAAAGGUUGGAUGCAGAUCAGAUUUCUAUGGUUGUUAAAAUGUAGGCAGACCAGAAGAUGGGUUCUCCAUAUCAUUGGCAUUCAGCAGGGAGAGGGUUGCUGACCACAAGACUGGAGAGUCUGGUGUUUUAAUCCAAGCUCAGAAGCUGCCCAUAUCUCUGAUCUCUACUGUCUUCUCUAGGGAUCCACAUGGGUUUAAAUGAUAUAGAAGCUGAGGGAAGGGAAGAACAGUAACUCGGGGGACACAUGAAAGCCAUAUCUCUCUCCACCUUUUUGCUGCAGGGUAACAGCUGAAUCCAAGCCCCAGCAGUGGAAGUCCUUCAACUCCCCCGCCAGGAGCCUCUCAUCCUGCACACCCUGCAGCCCUGCCAGAACCACUGCGUGCAGGAUUUAACAUCCAGGUGAGGGAAGCCCUCUGACUGUAGAUACAGUAAAGGGCCUGAAUCUAUUCAGCCUCCGCAAGAGAAGUGUGACAGGGGAUCUGGUGGCCAUCUAUAAACCAACCGGGGGGGACCAGCGGAAAAUAGGUGAGGCUCUGUUUCCCCCAGGCACCACCUGGAAUAACCACGAGUAACAGCCACAGAUUGAGAGCAGGUUCAG